CAAACCGCUGUAUGGUUUUUUUGUUUGUUUUUUUUUUUUUUUAAUCUGUGGAUGUGUCUAUCUCCCCCACAAGUCUAAGCAGUUCAAGGGCAGAAUGGGAAUUUAUUCAUAUUCAUAUUUCCUAGCAUAUUCCUGGAUGAACUUUUCAAAUAAACUAAUUUAAAGAUAAGGCUCCCACAACACAGGAAGUGGUCACAUUUCAGACCAAAGUUCAAUGCUUCACUCUACUUGUAACUUGAUCUAUAAAACAAUAACCACAAAGUGGUUUUUUUCCUCCCAGUGUUGGAAGGGGGAGAAAAUGCUGCUCAUCGACAUUCCUCUUGAGGUCAAAGCAGAGACCACUUUUUGGCCCGGGUGUGGGCAGCACUGGAAUAUGCAGGACAAGGGACAGAAUUUUUUGUUGAUUCCUAAAACAAGUUUGCAAUAGGUGAGCGCUUAAGGUAAGUAAGCCAAGGUAAGCUGCCAGGGUAAGCCAAGAGUGGGCAGAAGACUAUAGGUGUUCGCUGUGAAACUUCUAGUAAAAUUCAAGUCUUACUAAGUUCAUAAAAUGUUUGUACAUGUGCAUGUACAUGCUUGUAUGUGCAUGUGAGGUAUAAUCUGGGAAAGGAGCAUGGCUUUAUGUCCAGUGAUGAGGGGCAUACAGAGACUGCAUGCUAGGGUGCAGGACUGGAGAUGUUGGGGAUCAUAAGCAAAUAAACUGUCACUAUUUGUAGUGUUUGGUAUUUGAAGUAAUGCAGGCCUAUGGUUUGGGGUAAUGCAUGGACACUGGAGUCAGAAUUGAGGUGGGUUUCAAUCCUCUAUCCAACUUUCAUCAGCUGUGUGGGCCAGUCAUUUACCUUCUCCAAGUCUGAGCCUUUUCCUAUACAAAGGGGAUAAAACUUCUGAAUUACUAGAAAGAUUAGCUAAGUGCUCAGUGCAUUGCAACUGUUAUUUUCAUCAGUCCUGUGUUUUAGGAAGAUGUUGUUGGUAGUGGUGCGAGGAGUGGCCAGAAGCCGGCAUAAACUAGAGAUAAACUGACAAGAGGAUAUUUGAGCAACUCUUCGCUAGAGAAAGGAGUGAGAGUCCACAUGCAGGAAAUGGUGGGGGAAAUAUAAAGGAAAAAAUUCAAAAGGCAGGACUUAAUAACUGUUUGGAUAAGAAUAUCCAGGAAAAGUGGGGAGAGGUCUGAGAUGGAGACAAAGCUUUGCAUUUCAGUAAGUAGAAAAUGAACAGUGAUGUCAUGCUUUCACCAGGCCACCCUCGUCUGUGUGUGAAGAGCAUUCCACCCAGCAUCUACUCUCUGAAGUAUGUGCCAUCCUCCUCCAAGCCAACUGAGACCUCAGGACUUUACUCAAGGAAGUCCCUUUUCAUCAGAAAUCUUCCCUGGCCAUACAAGCCCAGGUUUAAUUCUUUCUCCAAUCUGCUGAUGCCCCUUAAGUCACUUAAGGAUUAGAUACUUAAUUAUGUGUCAUUCCUGGGAUUUUUACAUGUGACUUGCUGACUAAAUUUCUUGUUCUCUGAAGAUGAGAACAAAGACUCACCUAUUUUUCCAUCAUCAUCUCAGGCAGGUGGUCCAUACCAACUCACUGCUUCUGUGACCUAAUAUUGAUAGCUUCCUUUGUUCUGGACUUUCAUGCAAUCACUGAUGCAAAUUGUCAUUUAUGAGAACCCCAUAAGGAAGAGAGUAUGUUUUUUAAAAAGGUAGGAGAAGAACUAGGAGACAACCUCCAAAUAACAAACAAAACCAACCCAGUACAAAUACUUUGUACUCACCACACUAUACUCAUCAUCAUCUCUACCAUCACUAACACUUAUUGAGCAUCAGUCAAGUGCCAGGUACAAGGAUCAUCUCAUUUAAACCUCACAAUGACCUUGCAAGGAUCGAACCCUCACCACAGUGGUGACCCAGCUCUCAGUAGUGGCAACACUAGAUUCUUAACCUGCUGAACCAUCAGGGAAUUCCCUGCCUCGGUUUUCUUUAUCUGUAAAAUGAAGUGUUUAAGGUAGGUAACCUCCAAGAUGCAUUCCAGCCCUCAGAUUCUGUACUAGGAACAUCAAUGUCAUGAUGUGAUAAGAGACUUACUAGCAUCAUUUUUAAUAUAGGUGCGUAUAUUUUAGGGAGUUAUUGAAUGAUUAGGAACAGAUUAAUCUGGGAAAUUGGAAGGUCACACGUAGUUUUGAGAGUGUUUUGAAACAAGAAAUGAAAUGGCAUGAAGUAGAAACAUGAGGAAAAAAUUCAGGCUAAGAUAUGGUCAGGAAAAUAACUAAAAGGAGGGAGUGGAUGAGUCAUGUGCACAGGAUAACCAGCGCAUUUGCCGGGCUGCAGUGGGACGUACCAUCACAGCGGGAAAUGGGUACAGUUUGUCAAGAAAGGACUAAAAGGGGUGAAGGAUAUUGAAAGCAAUGCAUAGAGGUCCAAAAAUUAGUAACUGGGGCAAAAUCUUUCUCCAACAAAUUUUUUGAGAGUGUGCAUCAAAAAAUGAUGAAUUAAUUUUUUCAGACAUUAAUUUGUUAUCUGGGUAGAAUAAGAACAUAGCUAUCUAACAAAAGCUUCUUAAAAGCAUGGAAAAGGAAGUUGUUCUGGCAUGAAAUAUAAGAGUUAUAUUUCCUCAGAGAACAGCUUAUGAAUCUGUGUGUUUGUAUGUGUGUGUGUGUGUGUGUGAGAGAGAGAGAGAGAGAGAGAGAUGAAUGUGGUAUGUGCAUAAGUGUAAGAGGAAAUUGUUGAGGUCUGUGUGUUAGGGGGUUGGCUUUUUUUAAGUAAUUGCUGGUGUAUUUUCUUAAUUUAUUCCCAGAAUGCAAAAUAACCUAGCCUAACUUCCCAAAUAUACCACAAGUACCUUAAACUUUGUUUCACCUUUCUGAAAUCUUUUUAUUCAGGAAAAACAAUCUUUAUUACAGAAGAAUAAAAUCAGUUACGCUCUAUGAGUUUUUUGGUAAGUUAGCUCUACUUCUGAGUCAUUAGAAAAUAGCAGGACUAUUUCAAUAUAAAGUCCUAAUAAAAGGAUUAGCUUUGAUAAGAAACUAGGUAGGAAGUUCUCAGAUUCAAGUGUUUUUCCUAGAAAAGUUUAUCAUGAAACUUUUUUUUUUUUUUUGGCCAUGCCCAGAGCAUGUGGAAGUUCCCAGGCUUGGAAUCAAAUCUGCGUCACAGCAGUGACCCAAGCCAUUGCAGUGAUACUGCCAGAUCCUUAACCCUCUGUACCACAGAACUCUGAAAAUACUUGUUUUAUAUUCUCCUGUUUCUGAAAUGCAUUUUCUUUACUUAUAUAGUGACAUAAUUUGCAUCUAUAUGGAGUGAAUAAGCAAUGAGAUCCUGCUGUAUAGUACAGGGAACUAUGUCUAGUCAUUUAUGAUGGAACACAAUGGAGGAUAAUGUGAGAAAAAGAAGUAUAUAUAUGUGUGACUGGGUCAUUUGCUAUACAGUAGAAAUUGAUAGAACACUGUAAACCAACUAUAAUGGAAAAAAUAAAAAUAAUUAAAAAAGAAAAAAAUAAAAUGACAUAAGGCAUAUUUAAGAUUUGGAUUUUACAUUGUGUUUACGGGAAAGAUUGCUGAGCAGAGCCAGAGAACUAUGUAGGAAAGGGAGAAGGUACUAAUUUGAAUGUGUAUUUAGUAGGUGGCAGGAGCUAUGCCUUACAUUUUAUACACAGUAUUUCAUUUAAUUGCCCUAAUGCUCCUACACAUGAGAACAAAGAACCUCUGAGUUACCUGGCUGAGUCACACAACUCAUAAAUGAAAGCAUAAGGACUCAAACUAGCCCAGAUCAGCUUAACAAAAAACAUUUUGAGCAAGGACAAUAUACAAAGAACUAGGCCUGGCCUGAUAGAAGUAGGGUAAGAUUUUUUAAAAUGAAGGCACAAUGCCUGUCUUCAAAAUACUUACUUCUAAAGGGAGAGUUAAAAGAGAAAUGAAAAAAAAAAAAAGUCAGGAGAAUUCAAAGUUGACAAACAUUAAAUUUUGUUGGGCAGUCUUAGGAAUGACUUUGUGGCUUACCUAGCUAUUCAAUGUGAGUCUUAAAGGAUAGCUAAGGUUUUUAAAAGAAGUGUAUUAUAAAUGGAGUGAACCAUGCAGAAGAAAAAAAGACAACCAAGUAGAGAGCAAUUGGAGUUCCUGUUGUAGCUUGUAGCUCAGGGGGUUAAGAAUACAACCUGGUGUCUGUGAGAAUAUGGAUUUGAUCCCUAGCCUCGCUCAGUGAGUUAAGGAUUUGGUGUUGCCACGAGCUACAGUGUAGAUCCCAGAUGUAGCUUGAAUAUGGUGUUGCUGUGGCUGUGAUGUAGGCCUGCAGCUGUAGCUCUGAUUUGACCCCUAGCCUGGGAACCUCCCUAUGCCACAGGAGCAGCCAUAAAAAGAAAAAAAAAAAAAGUAGACAGCAAUGGAAAACAAGAAUACGUUUGGUUUAGAAGAAACAGAGUGAAAAGAAAAGAGGAGCAAGUCACGCUGUGUUUUAAGAAGGCCCAUGUGUUCUCAGAAAAGCUGAGAAGGCAGCACAUCUGUAUUAGCCAGAGGAGUUUCAAUAACAGGUCUCAAAAAACUCAAACCAUUUCAAGCAGAAAAAGAAAUUAAUACAACAUCACUGCCUCAUAAAGCCCCCUCAAAAACCUGGCAGUCAUGAAAAUUUGAACUCAGUUUUGAACACUGCCCAGCCUACUUCUACUUCCCUCCCGACUUCUCUUUGAGAGUUGGCUUCAUUCUUCUUUCUUAUUGCUGACAGUUUAUUUUGGUCUUUGAUCCAUGUGCCCACCUCCUGCAAAAUUAUUUAAGAAGUUGCUAAAAAGAGAUGGCUUAUAAGCACUUGGAGAGAAGGGUUGACAGGGAGACAAAAAUGGGUUCUCAGAGAAAAGUCAUGUCUAAUUCAUAACUCUUCAUUUUUUAACAGGGUUAUUAAUGGUAAUAUUAGGGAACAUAGAGAACUGAAGUUUUACAUGAUAUGCAAAUAUGCCAUCUUAGUUUGCUAUCUAGGACGUUUCAUGAUCUGGCCUCUGAACUGCUUCAACAGUCUCCCUCGCUCCUCACCUUGCUCCCCCUGCUAGACUGUAAGUUAAAUGAAAAGCAGAGAAUAUGUCAUUUUCACCAUCAUACUUCCAGCAUCUAGCAAAGAUCCUGGCCCAUAGCAGGUACUUGAUUAAUGUAUAUUUAAUCAACAAAUGAAUAAAUAACAUUUUGUAGAUAAAAACUAUGGUAUGUUGGCUAGAUGAGAAUGAGAUUUUGUAAGUAACUUUCUUAAAAGUAUGCAUAGUUUUGUGUAGUAAAAUCAAGUAGUUGAGGGCUAUAAGGUCUGAACCUAGCCAUAUGUUAUUAUUCAACAUUCCCAUCAAUAAUUCAAAUGAAGAAAAAGGAGGAAUAUGUAUUAUACCUCCAACAAAGCUCAAGGACAAAUGUGGAAUGACAGUAACAGAUAUCAAAAAGAUCUUGACAGGCUGAAGGGAUGAAAAGCAAGCAAGACAAAAUUUAACAAAAAUAAAUAUGCAUCUCUGCAUUAAGGUUCAAAAUUAGCAAUGACAAUGGAGACAUGACUUGACAAUAUUUCAAAAGGUGAGCCUGAGACUAAAAUUGUAUUUCAGUUAACUGCCUUCAUUUUGCAGUCUUGUGCAUUUUAUUUUUAUAUGUAAAAGUAUUCCAAGAAAGGAUUCAACACAAGGUUGCCAGUGCAAUUUCAUGGCACAAAAUUCAUAACAAUCUCUGACCUACAGGUUCUACUUUUACAAGAAACAGAUUUAUUGAGCUAUAAAUCAUACAUUAUAAAAUUUUAAAAUGUAAAAUCCAGUGAGUUUUAGUAUAUUAGCUGAGUUAUUCAACUGUCACCACAAUAACAUUUUAGAAUAUUUCAUUGCCCCUAAAAUAAACCCCAUACUCAUUAGCAGUCAUUCCCAUUCUACACUCCCCUCAUUGCUUGGCAAUCACUAAUUUGCUUUUUGCCAUCAUAGAUUUGCUUGUUUUGGACAUUUCACAUAAAUGGAAUCAUACAAUAUGUGAUCUUUUCUGUGACUUUUUAGCAUAGUGUUUUCAAGGUUCAUCCAGAUUGUAGAAUAUAUCAGUACUUCAUUCCUCUUUCUGGCUAAAAGAUAUUCUAUUGCAUGAGUACACUGUAUUUGUUAAUUUGUCAGUUGAUGAACAUUUGGAUUGUCUCCAUUUUUUGAUCAUUCUGAAUAAUACUGUUAUGUAUGAACAUUCAUGUAGAAAUUUUUGUGUGGAUAUACGUUUUCAUGUCUCCCGGACAAAUGUCUAGGAGCACAAUUGCUGGCUCAUAGGGUAACUCUUAUGUUUAGGUUUCCUGGGAAUAUGUUUCCAAAGUCAUUGUACCAUUUUAUAAUCACGAUAGCAAUGCGUAAGGGUUCCAAUUUCUCCAAUUCCUCUACAACACUUUAUUAUUAUUAUUAUUUUAGCUCUCCUAGUGUGUGUGAUGUGGUAUUUCAUAGUUUUGAUUUGCACUUCCCUGUUGACUAAAGAUAUUGAGCAUAUUUUAUAUGCUUAUUGAUCUACUGUAUGUCCUAUUCAAACCCUUUGUCCAUCUUUUAAUUGGGUUACUUAUCUAUUUAUGAUUGAGUUGCAAGUGCUUUUUUCAUCAUCUUGACACAGUCUGUUAUCACUAUAUGAUUAAAAAAUUUUUUCCCU